CUAGAGUCUGGCACAGGGUCUACAACAUAGCAGAGGCUUGCAAGUACUUGCUGAAUGAAUGACAAAGAAUCUGAAGCUCUUGAUGGCAGGCCUGGCUCCUGUGGCUCUCCCUCCCACCAGCUCAAGUCAUCAUGUACUUUAAGGAACUUGUUUCCAAGGCAACCAAUUAGAGUCAGAAAGUGAGGGCUGUGACGUCAGGCAAGGAUAGGGGGUGGGUGGAGAAACUGCCAUCCCCCAUAUCCCUAGCUCCCAGCUCAGUCUCUGCAGCCUUGAAGGGAACACUUCUGAAAAGAGGAAAAGACAGAGGGCAUUGCCCUCCUGAGAGUACACUUCUGGGUCAGGGCUCAGGAAUAGGGACUAUGUUGGAGAUCUGAUUCAUCUGGCAGUGUCCCUACCUGCUACCGCAUUCCAAAAUGCUGAUAAGCCUGUGGGUCCAGCAGUGAGACAGUGUAGGCAUACUAGAAGGGUAACAGUAGUUGGGGACCACUGCCCAUGCUCCUCCCUGUCGCCUAGGAGGGAGAGAUCUUAGGCUUUCUUUCUUUGGGGGACCUGUAAACAAGGCCCAGAAGGAAGGAAGUCUUGGCUCAAAGGGGAGGAGAUGCUGCUCUCAGGCCUCACUUGAGACCUUUCUGUCUGCCCCCUGGAAAGGAUGUAUGUUUUGGUUUAUGAGAGGAAAGUAUACACUUUA
rnacentral:lncRNA from 10 species